GACGAACGCUGGCGGCGUGCUUAACACAUGCAAGUCGAACGAUGAAACCUAGCUUGCUAGGUCGAUUAGUGGCGAACGGGUGAGUAACACGUGACUAACCUGCCCCUUUCUCUGGGAUAACGCUCCGAAAGGAGUGCUAAUACCGGAUACUCACACCGAGGCACAUGCCUUGGUGUGGAAAGUUUUUCGGAAAGGGAUGGAGUCGCGGCCUAUCAGCUUGUUGGGGAGGUAACGGCUCACCAAGGCGACGACGGGUAGCCGGCCUGAGAGGGCGCCCGGCCACACUGGGACUGAGACACGGCCCAGACUCCUACGGGAGGCAGCAGUGGGGAAUAUUGCACAAUGGGCGCAAGCCUGAUGCAGCGACGCCGCGUGAGGGAUGAAGGUCUUCGGAUUGUAAACCUCUUUCAGUAGGGACGAAGCGAAAGUGACGGUACCUAAAGAAGAAGCACCGGCUAACUACGUGCCAGCCGCCGCCGUAA
rnacentral:rRNA from 1 species